rnacentral:rRNA from 1 species
UACGAAGGGUGCAAACGUUGCUCGGAAUUAUUGGGCGUAAAGCGUGCGCAGGCGGUUUUGUAAGUCAGAUGUGAAAUCCCCGGGCUUAACCUGGGAACUGCGUUUGAAACUACAAGGCUAGAGUGUGGCAGAGGGGGGUGGAAUUCCACGUGUAGCAGUGAAAUGCGUAGAGAUGUGGAGGAACACCGAUGGCGAAGGCAGCCCCCUGGGUUAACACUGACGCUCAGGCACGAAAGCGUGGGGAGCAAACAGG